GACGAACGCUGGCGGCGUGCUUAACACAUGCAAGUCGAACGAAGUGGCGAACGCGUGAGUAAUGCGUGGGUACCCGCCCCUCCUGUUUGGGAUAAGCCUUGGAAACGGGGUCUAAUACCGGAUAAUGGGGGCUGCGCUCGCGGCCUAUCGGCUUGUUGGUGGGGUGUUGGCCUACCAAGGCGGUGCCGGGGAGCCGGCCUGGGAGGGGGUGCGGGCACAGUGGGGCUUGGAUACGGCCCAGAGGCCGACGCGAGGGAGCAGGGGGGGAUAUUGCACAAGGGGCGAAAGACUGAUGCAGCGUCGCCGCGUGGGGGAUGAAGGCUGUGGGGUUGUAAAGCUGUUGCGCAACCGAACGGGUAGGUGGAGAAGAAGCGCCGGCUAACUACGUGACAGCAGCCGCGGUAAUUC
rnacentral:rRNA from 1 species